GGGGGAAUUUUCCACAAUGGGCGAAAGCCUGAUGGAGCAACGCCGCGUGUGUGAUGAAGGUCUUCGGAUCGUAAAGCACUUUCGACCGGGACGAAAAACCUCUGGCUAACAUCCAGGGGCCUGACGGUACCGGGAGAAGAAGCACCGGCUAACUCUGUGCCAGCAGCCGCGGUAAUACAGAGGGUGCAAGCGUUGUUCGGAAUUAUUGGGCGUAAAGCGCGUGUAGGCGGCUUGGCAAGUCAGAUGUGAA
rnacentral:rRNA from 1 species